rnacentral:lncRNA from 1 species
UGGCUCUCUUCGUGCUGGUGCGAUUGGGACAAUCCAUUGCAUCUGGUCCUGUGCUCGGUUCAAGGUGCAGCCUCCAUUGGUUUGUAAUCAUGCAAGUGUCACAGAAGAUGCCACACCAUGCGAGGAUAUAAACACUGCACUCUAGCUUUCAAUGUGUUGCAUCAUAAGCAUCCGCAAUAGAUAUGUUACAUUAUAAUUGGCACUAGAAACAGUGCCGCACCUGUCAAUGAGCAUUACAUAUACCCAAAAAAUCUUAGUGUAUCUG